GGACUACAGGGGUAUCUAAUCCUGUUUGCUCCCCACGCUUUCGCACCUCAGCGUCAGUAUCGGCCCAGGUCUCCGCCUUCGCCACUGGUGUUCCUCCCGAUAUCUACGAAUUUCACCUCUACACCGGGAAUUCCGAGACCCUCUUCCGUACUCCAGCCUGUCAGUUUCGAAUGCCCUUCCUGGGUUGAGCCCAGGGCUUUCACAUCCGACUUAACAGACCGCCUACGUGCGCUUUACGCCUAAUAAUUCCGAGCAACGUUUGCACCCUCCGUAUUACCGCGGCUGCUGGCAC
rnacentral:rRNA from 1 species